UGAAUGAAUGAGUCGGCAGCU
rnacentral:miRNA from 1 species